rnacentral:rRNA from 1 species
UACGGAGGGUGCAAGCGUUGUCCGGAUUUAUUGGGUUUAAAGGGCGCGUAGGCGGACAUCUAAGUCAGGGGUGAAAUCCCAGGGCUCAACCCUGGAAUUGCCUUUGAUACUGGACGUCUCGAGUUCGGGAGAGGUGAGUGGAAUUCCGAGUGUAGAGGUGAAAUUCGUAGAUAUUCGGAGGAACACCAGUGGCGAAGGCGGCUCACUGGCUCGGUACUGACGCUGAGGUGCGAAAGCGUGGGGAGCAAACAGGG